AUAGUAAUCCCCCAUAGUUAUGGGUUGUGCAGCUGCCAUUAUAAUUUCUUCUAUAAAGUCAGAAGAACUUGAUAGUUGCUCUACUUCUGGUAUUCCCCCCUCCAGAGUUGCUUUUGUAACUACUUUUCUGAGAGCAUGUGUUGUUCUUUCAAUUUAUGGAUCCAGUGGUAUUAAUGUUGAUCAUGAAUUGCACAUACAUAAAUUGAAAAUACCUCAGUAGCACUAUAAUAAACAAAGAAAGUAAAAAAAAAUUAAAAAGACUAAAAAUAAAUAAAAUUGCACAAAC
rnacentral:lncRNA from 1 species